rnacentral:rRNA from 1 species
GAUCAUGGCUCAGGACGAACGCUGGCGGCGUGCUUAACACAUGCAAGUCGAACGAGGAUCUACUGAAAGAGUUUUCGGACAAUGGAUGUAGAGGAAAGUGGCGGACGGGUGAGUAACGCGUGAGGAACCUGCCUUGAAGAGGGGGACAACAGUUGGAAACGACUGCUAAUACCGCAUGACGCAUAGGGGUCGCAUGAUUCUUAUGCCAAAGAUUUAUCGCUUCAAGAUGGCCUCGCG